GAUGAACGCUGGCGGCGUGCCUAAUACAUGCAAGUCGAGCGAACGGACGAGAAUCUUGCUUCUCUGAUGUUAGCGGCGGACGGGUGAGUAACACGUGGAUAACCUACCUAUAAGACUGGGAUAACUUCGGGAAACCGGAGCUAAUACCGGAUAAUAUUUUGAACCGCAUGGUUCAAAAGUGAAAGACGGUCUUGCUGUCACUUAUAGAUGGAUCCGCGCUGCAUUAGCUAGUUGGUAAGGUAACGGCUUACCAAGGCAACGAUGCCUAGCCGACCUGAGAGGGUGAUCGGCCACACUGGAACUGAGACACGGUCCAGACUCCUACGGGAGGCAGCAGUAGGGAAUCUUCCGCAAUGGGCGAAAGCCUGACGGAGCAACGCCGCGUGAGUGAUGAAGGUCUUCGGAUCGUAAAACUCUGUUAUUAGGGAAGAACAUAUGUGUAAGUAACUGUGCACAUCUUGACGGUACCUAAUCAGAAAGCCACGGCUAACUACGUG
rnacentral:rRNA from 1 species